UUGAACGCUGGCGGCAGGCCUAACACAUGCAAGUCGAGCGGUAGCACAGAGAGCUUGCUCUCGGGUGACGAGCGGCGGACGGGUGAGUAAUGUCUGGGAAACUGCCUGAUGGAGGGGGAUAACUACUGGAAACGGUAGCUAAUACCGCAUAACGUCGCAAGACCAAAGUGGGGGACCUUCGGGCCUCAUGCCAUCAGAUGUGCCCAGAUGGGAUUAGCUGGUAGGUGGGGUAACGGCUCACCUAGGCGACGAUCCCUAGCUGGUCUGAGAGGAUGACCAGCCACACUGGAACUGAGACACGGUCCAGACUCCUACGGGAGGCAGCAGUGGGGAAUAUUGCACAAUGGGCGCAAGCCUGAUGCAGCCAUGCCGCGUGUGUGAAGAAGGCCUUCGGGUUGUAAAGCACUUUCAGCGGGGAGGAAGGCGGUGAGGUUAAUAACCUCAUCGAUUGACGUUACCCGCAGAAGAAGCACCGGCUAACUCCGUGCCAGCAGCCGCGGUUAUACGGAGGGUGCAAGCGUUAAUCGGAAUUACUGGGCGUAAAGCGCACGCAGGCGGUCUGUCAAGUCGGAUGUGAAAUCCCCGGGCUCAACCUGGGAACUGCAUUCGAAACUGGCAGGCUAGAGUCUUGUAGAGGGGGGUAGAAUUCCAGGUGUAGCGGUGAAAUGCGUAGAGAUCUGGAGGAAUACCGGUGGCGAAGGCGGCCCCCUGGACAAAGACUGACGCUCAGGUGCGAAAGCGUGGGGAGCAAACAGGAUUAGAUACCCUGGUAGUCCACGCUGUAAACGAUGUCGAUUUGGAGGUUGUGCCCUUGAGGCGUGGCUUCCGGAGCUAACGCGUUAAAUCGACCGCCUGGGGAGUACGGCCGCAAGGUUAAAACUCAAAUGAAUUGACGGGGGCCCGCACAAGCGGUGGAGCAUGUGGUUUAAUUCGAUGCAACGCGAAGAACCUUACCUGGUCUUGACAUCCACAGAACUUUCCAGAGAUGGAUUGGUGCCUUCGGGAACUGUGAGACAGGUGCUGCAUGGCUGUCGUCAGCUCGUGUUGUGAAAUGUUGGGUUAAGUCCCGCAACGAGCGCAACCCUUAUCCUUUGUUGCCAGCGGUUAGGCCGGGAACUCAAAGGAGACUGCCAGUGAUAAACUGGAGGAAGGUGGGGAUGACGUCAAGUCAUCAUGGCCCUUACGACCAGGGCUACACACGUGCUACAAUGGCAUAUACAAAGAGAAGCGACCUCGCGAGAGCAAGCGGACCUCAUAAAGUAUGUCGUAGUCCGGAUUGGAGUCUGCAACUCGACUCCAUGAAGUCGGAAUCGCUAGUAAUCGUAGAUCAGAAUGCUACGGUGAAUACGUUCCCGGGCCUUGUACACACCGCCCGUCACACCAUGGGAGUGGGUUGCAAAAGAAGUAGGUAGCUUAACCUUCGGGAGGGCGCUUACCACUUUGUGAUUCAUGACUGGGGUG
rnacentral:rRNA from 1 species